rnacentral:rRNA from 1 species
AUUGAACGCUGGCGGCAGGCCUAACACAUGCAAGUCGAGCGAGCGGCGGACGGGUCAGAAAAGCCUGGGAUUUGCCCAGUCGAGCGGCAUAACAGGUGGAAACGACUGCCAAUACCGCAUACGAUCCCAUUGCCGAUGUCUGAUUAGUUAGUUGGCGGGGUACUGGCUCACCAAGGCGACGAUCCCUCGAUGGUCUGAUAGGUUGCUCAGCCACACUGGAACUGAGACACGGUCCAGACUCCUACGGGAGGCAGCAGUGGGGCAUAUUGCACAAUGGGGGAAACCCUGAUGCAGCCAUGCCGCGUGUGUGAAGAAGGCCUUCGGGUUUUAAAGCACUUUCAGCGAGGAGGCGUUACUCGCAGAAGAAGCACCGGCUAACUCCGUGCCAGUCGCCGCGGUAAUCC